UACGUAGGGUGCAAGCGUUGUCCGGAAUUAUUGGGCGUAAAGAGCUCGUAGGCGGUUUGUCGCGUCUGCUGUGAAAACUCGGGGCUUAACCCCGGGCCUGCAGUGGGUACGGGCAGACUAGAGUGCGGUAGGGGAGACUGGAAUUCCUGGUGUAGCGGUGAAAUGCGCAGAUAUCAGGAGGAACACCGGUGGCGAAGGCGGGUCUCUGGGCAUGUCCUGACGCUGAGGAGCGAAAGCGUGGGGAGCGAACAGG
rnacentral:rRNA from 1 species